rnacentral:rRNA from 1 species
GACCUCGGAUCAGGUAGGGAUACCCGCUGAACUUAAGCAUAUAU